AGAGCUUAUACAGUUGUAAAUAUAAAAACUAUAAAACUAUAUAAACUUUUAGCACGUUUUUGAUAGUAAAAUAAUAGUGACACAUCUAGGUGAACCUUUGGUCCUCUGAAGAAUUGAUUGUUUAAAAGAUUCCUGCUUUGUUCUCUUCAGUAUUCCACCAGCAGAUAGCAGAAAAAAUCUUCCUUAAGAUAUGAAACUGGUGUGGUUGUCAACGACGCGUUUUCAAGGGUCACUUUUCCUCCGUACUUGGCUCUGUAAUUAAUCCCCUACACUGUUUUUCCGAUGGCUUAUGCUUCUUCUCCAAUAGAAAUUUGAAAAGUCUUCAGCUAUAAGCUCACUUUGUUUUCUGCCUCUACUACUGCCAAUCAGAUCAGUCAAGGUUUGGGAGUCCAUAAGGACUUUGUUAUAAAACAAAGAAACGGUAUUUCACACCUUGUCAACGACUACCCAGCCAAACUAUAGACAAAUCCUCAGAUGGAAGCUUCUCUGGCCUAAUUGUCAUCGAAGCUGUAAUGUGGCCAGAAUUAUCGUUACGUUCGUCCCUCAGUCAUAUUGGUCACUACUUAACAGAGAUGGGCGAAGACCCUGCGCCCACCAGGCAUAAAGUGAUUAUCGAAACAUGUGGAUAUUAUUAUCACGAUGUGAAUGCCGCCGGCCACCUUAAGACAUGAGGUGAAAGUAUCAAUUGCAUAGCAUAACGCCUGUCGGACCCUUUAAAUCAGAACAUGUACACUUCACCAGUUAAUUCAACGAAAACAGGACGAGAUGGCACAACAUCGUCAGGAUGAAAGUCAUGGAUGAAAAUGGUCACAGGAGAAGCACGACUGGACGAGGAAAUAUCAUCAAAACAUAAUUAUUAAAUCUCUUUCAUGUCAUCCCUACCGGUUUAAAUAAAUUUACAAUCCUGAAAAGAACCAGCGAGACAAAUUCAGCGGGCUUGUUUUUUCUAUUUUUGAAA